AUUGAACGCUGGCGGCAUGCCUUACACAUGCAAGUCGAACGGCAGCACGGGUGCUUGCACCUGGUGGCGAGUGGCGAACGGGUGAGUAAUACAUCGGAACAUGUCCUGUAGUGGGGGAUAGCCCGGCGAAAGCCGGAUUAAUACCGCAUACGAUCUACGGAUGAAAGCGGGGGACCUUCGGGCCUCGCGCUAUAGGGUUGGCCGAUGGCUGAUUAGCUAGUUGGUGGGGUAAAGGCCUACCAAGGCGACGAUCAGUAGCUGGUCUGGGAGGACGACCAGCAACACUGGAAUUGGGCCACGGCCCGGAUCCUACGGGGAGGCACCAUUGGGAAAUUUUGGACAAGGGGGGAAGGCCGAAUCCAGCAAGGCCGCGUGUGUGAAGAAGGCCUUCGGGUUGUAAAGCACUUUGUUCGGGAAGAAAACCCUUGGCCUAAUACGGUCGGGGGAUGACGGUACCGGAAGAAUAAGCACCGGCUAACUACGUG
rnacentral:rRNA from 1 species